UGCUAUACUGCAAGUCGAGCGACUGAUUACAAGCUUGCUUCUAUGACGUUAGCGGCGGCCGGGUGAGUAACACGUGGGCACCUGCCUGUAGUACUGGGAUAACUUCGGGAAGCCCAAGCUAAUACCGGAUAGGAUCUUCUCCUUCAUGGGAGAUGAUUGAAAGAUGGUUUCGGCUAUCACUUACAGAUGGGCCCCCGGUGCAUUAGCUAGUUUGUGAGGUAACGGCUCACCAAGGCAACGAUGCAUAGCCGACCUGACAGGGUGAUCGGCCACACUGGGACUGACACACGGCCCAUACUCCUACGGGAGGCUCCCCACCGGAAUCUUCCGCAAUGGACGAAAGUCUGACGGAGCAACGCCGCGUGAGUGAUGAAGGCUUUCGGGUCGUUGACUCUGUUGUUAGGGAAGAACAAGUAUCACAGUAACUGCUCGGACCUUGACCGUGCCUAACCUGAAAGCCUCGGCUAACUACGUGACAGCUCCCUCUCUAAUACUUACGUAGGAAGCCUUAACCUGGAUUAGUGCUUCUAAUUCCUGCGCAUGCGGUUUCUUGCUCCUGAUGUGGAACCCCACCGCUCAACCUCGGAUGAUCAUUGGACACUGGAGAACUCUCCUGCAGAAGAGAGAAGCGUGCGUCCACGUGUAGCCGUG
rnacentral:rRNA from 1 species